AGGCGCACUCGGGUAGAGACUGUGCUGCAUUGUCGCCAGGGUUUUCAGGUAAAGAUGUAGUCUAACGAGUGGUAACUAUCUAAAAGCAUGGAAGACCUGACUGACGUCUUGAGACGAAGAGAAGUCUCUGAGGAAAUAAUACAAACCCUGGAGAAUGAGAUGAUCGAUGCCAGUGUUAUAAAUCUGAUGUCAGAUGAGAAGCUGAAGACUUAUCUACCAUCAUAUGGUGAUCAUUAUAGUGUUAUAGUGUCUGAGGAUGAUUUGGUGCAGUUUGGUGCCAGUUGGAGAGAUACAGACUGAACAGUGGGUGGAAAUGCAUGCAAGAAUUUAAAAUGGGGCCUGAUUUUUACACUUUUUACACUACAACUUUUGGCCCUAGAAUUUGUCAGGCAAUUAAUUCAACAUUUUGGCACAAACAAAAAUUAUAUCUAUGUAAAUCAGAUUUAUGUCCAAGUGAAUUUUUGUAAGAAAUGGGUUUUUGAGACUUGGGAGGGAUGUGCAUUGAUGGAACAGCAUUAAACAUUUUGAUAUCUUAUGCAGAUAAACACGGUCUAUCGCUUGGAUUAUUAUGCUCAAAUAUUUCGUUUCAACAGAAGCAUCUUGACAUCUUGUGCAUUAU